rnacentral:rRNA from 1 species
UACGUAGGGUGCGAGCGUUGUCCGGAAUUAUUGGGCGUAAAGAGCUCGUAGGCGGUCUGUCGCGUCGAUCGUGAAAACUUGGGGCUUAACCCUGAGCUUGCGGUCGAUACGGGCAUGACUGGAGUUCGGCAGGGGAGACUGGAAUUCCUGGUGUAGCGGUGAAAUGCGCAGAUAUCAGGAGGAACACCGGUGGCGAAGGCGGGUCUCUGGGCAAUAACUGACACUGAGGCGCGACAGCGUGGGGAGCAAACAGG